UACCUGGUUGAUUCUGCCAGUAGUCAUAUGCUUGUCUCAAAGAUUAAGCCAUGCAUGUCUAAGUAUAAGCAAUUACAAAGCGAAACUGCGAAUGGCUCAUUAUAUAAGUUAUCGUUUAUUUGAUAGUACCUUACUACAUGGAUAACCGUGGUAAUUCUAGAGCUAAUACAUGCUGAAAAUCCCGACUUCGGAAGGGAUGUAUUUAUUAGAUACAAAACCAAUGCCCUUCGGGGCUCUCUUGGUGAUUCAUGAUAACUUCUCGAAUCGCACGGCCCCGCGCCGGCGAUGGUUC
rnacentral:ncRNA from 1 species